rnacentral:rRNA from 1 species
AGCGAACGCUGGCGGCAGGCUUAACACAUGCAGGUCGAGCGGGCACUUCGGUGUCAGCGGCAGACGGGUGAGUAACACGUGGGAACGUACCCUUCGGUUCGGAAUAACGCUGGGAAACUAGCGCUAAUACCGGAUACGCCCUUUUGGGGAAAGGUUUACUGCCGAAGGAUCGGCCCGCGUCUGAUUAGCUAGUUGGUGGGGUAAUGGCCUACCAAGGCGACGAUCAGUAGCUGGUCUGAGAGGAUGAUCAGCCACACUGGGACUGAGACACGGCCCAGACUCCUACGGGAGGCAGCAGUGGGGAAUAUUGGACAAUGGGCGCAAGCCUGAUCCAGCCAUGCCGCGUGAGUGAUGAAGGCCUUAGGGUUGUAAAGCUCUUUUGUCCGGGACGAUAAUGACGGUACCGGAAGAAUAAGCCCCGGCUAACUUCGUG